rnacentral:rRNA from 1 species
CAAACUCCGAAUGCCAAUGACUUAUCCUUAGGAGUCAGACUGCGAGUGAUAAGAUCCGUAGUCAAAAGGGAAACAGCCCAGACCGCCAGCUAAGGUCCCAAAGUGUGUAUUAAGUGGAAAAGGAUGUGGAGUUGCUUAGACAACUAGGAUGUUGGCUUAGAAGCAGCCACCAUUUAAAGAGUGCGUAAUAGCUCACUAGUCGAGUGACUCUGCGCCGAAAAUGUACCGGGGCUAAAUACACCACCGAAGCUGCGGAUUGAUACCAAUGGUAUCAGUGGUAGGGGAGCGUUCUAAGGACAGUGAAGUCAGACCGGAAGGACUGGUGGAGUGCUUAGAAGUGAGAAUGCCGGUAUGAGUAGCGAAAGACGGGUGAGAAUCCCGUCCACCGAAUGCCUAAGGUUUCCUGAGGAAGGCUCGUCCGCUCAGGGUUAGUCAGGACCUAAGCCGAGGCCGACAGGCGUAGGCGAUGGACAACAGGUUGAUAUUCCUGUACCACCUCUUUAUCGUUUGAGCAAUGGAGGGACGCAGAAGGAUAGAAGAAGCGUGCGAUUGGUUGUGCACGUCCAAGCAGUUAGGCUGAUAAGUAGGCAAAUCCGCUUAUCGUGAAGGCUGAGCUGUGAUGGGGAAGCUCCUUAUGGAGCGAAGUCUUUGAUUCCCCGCUGCCAAGAAAAGCUUCUAGCGAGAUAAAAGGUGCCUGUACCGCAAACCGACACAGGUAGGCGAGGAGAGAAUCCUAAGGUGUGCGAGAGAACUCUGGUUAAGGAACUCGGCAAAAUGACCCCGUAACUUCGGGAGAAGGGGUGCUUUCUUAACGGAAAGCCGCAGUGAAUAGGCCCAAGCGACUGUUUAGCAAAAACACAGCUCUCUGCGAAGCCGUAAGGCGAAGUAUAGGGGGUGACACCUGCCCGGUGCUGGAAGGUUAAGGAGAGGGGUUAGCGUAAGCGAAGCUCUGAACUGAAGCCCCAGUAAACGGCGGCCGUAACUAUAACGGUCCUAAGGUAGCGAAAUUCCUUGUCGGGUAAGUUCCGACCCGCACGAAAGGUGUAACGAUUUGGGCACUGUCUCAACCAGAGACUCGGUGAAAUUAUAGUACCUGUGAAGAUGCAGGUUACCCGCGACAGGACGGAAAGACCCCGUGGAGCUUUACUGUAGCCUGAUAUUGAAUUUUGGUACAGUUUGUACAGGAUAGGCGGGAGCCAUUGAAACCGGAGCGCUAGCUUCGGUGGAGGCGCUGGUGGGAUACCGCCCUGACUGUAUUGAAAUUCUAACCUACGGGUCUUAUCGACCCGGGAGACAGUGUCAGGUGGGCAGUUUGACUGGGGCGGUCGCCUCCUAAAGUGUAACGGAGGCGCCCAAAGGUUCCCUCAGAAUGGUUGGAAAUCAUUCGUAGAGUGCAAAGGCAUAAGGGAGCUUGACUGCGAGACCUACAAGUCGAGCAGGGACGAAAGUCGGGCUUAGUGAUCCGGUGGUUCCGCAUGGAAGGGCCAUCGCUCAACGGAUAAAAGCUACCCCGGGGAUAACAGGCUUAUCUCCCCCAAGAGUCCACAUCGACGGGGAGGUUUGGCACCUCGAUGUCGGCUCAUCGCAUCCUGGGGCUGUAGUCGGUCCCAAGGGUUGGGCUGUUCGCCCAUUAAAGCGGUACGCGAGCUGGGUUCAGAACGUCGUGAGACAGUUCGGUCCCUAUCCGUCGUGGGCGUAGGAAAUUUGAGAGGAGCUGUCCUUAGUACGAGAGGACCGGGAUGGACGCACCGCUGGUGUACCAGUUGUUCUGCCAAGGGCAUAGCUGGGUAGCUAUGUGCGGAAGGGAUAAGUGCUGAAAGCAUCUAAGCAUGAAGCCCCCCUCAAGAUGAGAUUUCCCAUAGCGUAAGCUAGUAAGAUCCCUGAAAGAUGAUCAGGUUGAUAGGUUCGAGGUGGAAGCAUGGUGACAUGUGGAGCUGACGAAUACUAAUAGAUCGAGGACUUAACCAU